CUGCACCCCAGCCCUCUCCAGAGCCCCAAGAGAUGGGCAUCACCGUCUCUAGCUGCCAGGCCGCAGAACAAGGAAGUGGGGACCACCCUCCCUGACCCCCCAGGGGGAAACACUUCUGUGCACAUGGGGAUCCCCCCCGGGGCUUCAUGCAACAGCACUGUGAUAGCUGUGGGACUGGUGGGCCUGAGAACUUCUGGGGCCUGAGAAAACCUUGUGCCCCACCUGGCACUUGUCAGCACCCUAUGCAGGUCCUAAUCGCCCACAAAGCACUUGGACGUGCAGGACACAGGCCUCUGACUACUGCCCUGGAGAAACAGCUGCUCCCCACCUCAGGGCCACCCUGAGGGCCUAAGAGGGUGGGAGCUCCUGCACCACUAUGCCACCCUCGGGGCCACCCUGACCUUGCUCCCCCACGGCCAGCAGGAGCCCCUGUGAGCAGGGAGGGGCUGGUCUAACCUGUGAGCUGGCUGUUCGGGGUUAAUCCUGGGGGGGGGGGCAGGUGUCCCUGGCCACCUUGCCUGGGUGCUGAAGGGUGUGCUCCAGCCUGCCCCUGGAGUCACCCUUGUCACUGGCCUAGUCACAGCGAGCGCCCCAGGACUGCCUGAGCCUGGCAGGCUCCUGGGAGGAGGACUGAUGCAGAGGGGGGUGCACGGCCCUGGGCUGAAGACAGGCCCAGCACCUGAGAAGCCCCUUGACCUCAGGGCAGGAUGAGCCCCACGCUAUCAGGGUGCCCCGCUGCCUCUCCAAGGGAUACCUAACCUUAAUCCCCCAGAGCAAACUUCAACAAUCAAUCAUAAGAAGAAAACAAACAUCUGAGGACAUCACCUGAUCCCCACGGGGGCUUUGCCUGACAGACCCCUCUCCCCACUCUAGCCCCAGGACCUGUGGGUGACCAAGAAGACAAGGAAGAUGGUGGCAAGGGCAAGAGGUAAUUGGCCCUGAGAGCCACCUCCCCCUGCCUUGGACCUUACUCGUUGACCUCUUCCAGAUGGCGGACUGGGGGCCAGCAGGAGGAAGAGGUGGCCAGGGCUGAGCUGGGGAAGGAAACGGCCCACACACAGGCCCCUUCCUGCCCUCGGCUCAGAGCCCAGGCCUUCCCCACAUGGCCCUCACCCCGGGCAGCCUCACUGCCUACAGGACCCUGUCUUUCUUCUCUUCAGCCCUAAGGGAGAGGUUCUGGUCCAGCCCCGGUCAAGGGCCAGCCCUGGGAAGUCCUGACCUUCACAUCCCCAGCCACCAUCCACCCAGUACCCCUGGGCGGCCAGCGGGGAGGUGAAGCACUUGCACACCCGUCGGGGCUGCAGAGGGGGAGCUGUGAGCCCGGGAGCCCAGGGAUGGCCGCCAAAGCCAGAAGGAGCCAGAGAAGGUGAGACUGGACAACUCCAGCCUUGUCUGUGUGAGUAGUCCCUGGCCUGAAGGUGGUCCAGACUGUCUCAAGGCGUCCGUGUUGAGUGAGGAGCAGCAGAGGACAAACAGUAGCCUUGGGGUAGAGGCUGUCAUCCCUAUGCAAGUGGAAAGGAAGACUCCAAGGCCAAGAGGCGUGUUGUGGACCGGGGAGUGGAAGCCAGACUAACGGACCAACGUGUGCAAGAGCCCAGGCCUGCACCCGGGGCGGCAUGCAGAGCGUGUGGCGGGCCUGCUCACACCUCUCUGGCCACCUUCCUCUCAGCGGGCAGCAUAGCCCCCUCGAGUGGCCACACCCUCCCUGGAACCACGCACCUGUGCUUUGCGUCACACGCCCCAGGCCUGCACCCCCAGCAGAGGUGGCUCCUGGCCCUGCAAAGCCAAGACCCAGACCUAGAGCUAGCUGCUGGCCAAAGUGCCACCGGCUGCGCUGCCCACGGGACCACGUGGCCCAGUGGCCUCUCACGGCCACCCUUCUCAAGACCUGACCCAACGCAGACCUGCAGGCUGCUCCUGGUUCCUUUCCACCAGCCGUUACCCCAGCCCCCACCUUGACCUAACCCCAGUCUUCCCCAGGCUAAGUCCAACGCUGCCUUUUAGGUAGCAAGACUGCUUCUUAGAGUUAACAGUCCAAAUUCUCAGCACUGGAGCUUUGAGCUGCCAGCUGGUCUGGAGGUGCAGGCCUCUCCGCUAUGGGAUGCUGGCUCUGUGUGUCGUGUGCCUGAGCAAUCUCUCUGCCGGUAGCGUGCCAGCCUCACAGGCCCACGGCAGCCAGCUUCCUCUCCUUUCCCUGACGGCUGAGAAAGCAGCUCGCCUUCCACCCCGGGCACACAGACCCCAGCUGCAGCCCCAUCUCAUUCUCACUAGAGCCUCUGGCGCUCAAAAGCGGCUCAGACUAUGCUCUGCAGCUGCAAAGUAUCGCUGAUGUCACUGAGUCCAGCUGUUUUGCCUGUUUGACCCAUGAGUGAGGACACAGGUGGGGAACAAGGACCUGCCCAGGGAAACAAAGAGGGCCGGGUGCAAGGACCCUUGUCCCUCGGUCCGGGGCAGCAUCCACCUCAGCAGACAGCUGUGCCCAUGCCACGCUCAGCUCUGCGGGGAUGAGCACACGAGUAUGCAUGCACCUCCACAGUGCCUGACCUGCAGGGCCUGCCCAAGGCCCCAGUCACCAUGGGGCGGAGCCAGGGUCUCGGUCAUGGAUGCCAGGGCUGUUGUGCGCAGGCACUGACACAGCCGUGGCCCAUGUCAGCUUGGCUGACCUGGCAAUUCCAGCCCAGCUGGGGGCUCAGGAGCGGAGCUGGCCUCAGAGGGAGAGAAACAAGGUUGGGGUGGGGGACAGAGCAGCUUCAGGAUGAAGAGGCAGGCCUGUGGGCUGGAUGCUGUUGGACAGGGAUCUCCCCACAUGGCGGCAGGGGUGGGGGUGGCUGGGACGAUCAGGGACAGCCAGUGGGACCACGUGGAGGGCAAGGGGUGCCUAGUGUGUGCAGUGGGGCUGCACGUGGCCUCAUGGAGAGAGGGACUGCCAGGGGUCUGGGGAAUGGGCAGCGAGGAGAAGAGACACCAGCAGGCUUUGAUGCCUCUCGGGGUGAUCUGGGACUUGGCAUGUGUUUGAUGGGGCCCAAGAGAGCCUCCUCAGAGCAAGAGGGUGCUAACACUUGGCUCCUUUGAGCCCGCCCCACGUCAGGGUUGGAAAUGAGAGCUACCGUCCAGGCUUCUAGAAUAGCCCAGUCUUUGGAGGGCUGCUGAGCUGCUUCCGUUUCAUCUCAGGAGGGGAGCCCGCAUCCUAGAAAAGCCAUGUCUGAUGUGCACAUGGAGAAAACUAGGACAACCCAUCCACCAUCUGACCCCUGGCUCCUAAUGAGUGGCCUUUAUGGACCCGGGGGCAUCUGUGCUGAGUAAGUGGAGCCAGGUUCAGGCCACAAGUGGUGGCAGUGGCCGUGGCCUGUGCCAGGUGUCUUCCCUGGAUGACCAGCACAGGAUCCUCAUGCAGGGAGGGGCUGAGCUGAAGGGGUGGCGGGGGUCAGGCACUGACCACAGACAAAGCCGACAUCCCAGGCAGAGCUGGUGCCUCCACUGGCGUUCAGGUCCCAAGCAGGCUUACAACCCGCCACCUCCCCCAAACCCUUCACACUCGUGUAGAACAUCAGAAGGGGAACAAACUCGUCCAGGCGUGUCCUGCAGAGCAGGGCUCUGUCCCCAACCUGAGGGGUGCCCCGAACCAGAAGAACAAAUGUGAGAUGUUACAAGCGCAGCAUUCCUCCCCUCUCUAGAGCGCCGUGCAGCCUCUGCUGUGGCCUGGGGGCCUCCCACUGAGCUGUGAGGAACAAGGACGAGGACCGGCCCCUGGGAGCAGGGCCCCCACACCUGCCGGACGCUCGUGCUGGCAGGUGGCGGAACUUGCAGAGGCCUGAGUUCACGACCCAAGCCAAGCAGCGUCGCAGCACAUAUCCAAUCACUCUCUGGCUAGAGUGCACCCUCCCCCGGACGUACCUCUGGAUGACCAUGGACGUGGGCAGCCCUGGGGACAGCCAGCCCUGCCCUCUCCAGCACCACCUGCCCCACCCAGUGCCGACCCUCAUGUGCCAUUUGGCCUCUCUCUGUUCCCUCUCCUGGACCACCUUCUCCCUGGUCUGCCCGGCCACCUUGCCCCCUUCCCCUUGCUGUAGCUGGCCGACCUCCUCUCCUGCACCCUCGGCACACGCAGGGUGCCGGGUGCACUGCUCACACCCGGCCCCGAGGAAAGGGGGCUGAGGCAGGGGCUCCCGCAGGUCGAGCCCUCCCUCCGAGAGCUCGCUGCGCCCGAGCACCACCAUCUCCUCCUCUUGGGUUUCCCGUGGUGCCCCUGCUGCAGGGCCGCCUUCAUUGCCCACCCAAGAGGGGCCUGGAGCCCAGGGUUCCCCACCCCUCCUCUGAGUAGGGCCAGGCGGGUCCCUCUCUGGAAAUAAAGCCCAGCACUGAGCCGCUGGGGCUGGGGCGGCCUCCCCUGCAGCCCGGAGCGGGCCCUUGCUCGUCUGUCCUAAGCAAAUUUGCCAGUGUCCCCACAUGGGGAGCUGCGGGGUGGGUGUGACAGGACGUUAUCUGAGAGUCAGUGCCACCCUGGCGAGGGGCUGGGCUUCCUGGGGAAGCUCCACCUGCUUUGGCAUACCCUAAUUUUAGACUUCUUAUACCUAAUUAGAGAUCAACGUUUCAAAAUUUGUUUUUAAUCAACCAAAUUCCUGCACAUCCUUCCCAACUGGCCCCGAGCCACCUCGCCUCCUUCCCACACGGACCCCAGUGAGCCUGUGUGCUCUUUUCCACGAAGUCCCUUCCCCCAGCUGCCUCCUCCUCCUUCUGGGGCCUUCCUGGACCCUCUCCUGGACACAGUGGCCCCGGGGCACAUGUGGUAAUGGUCUCCCGUGAUCCUCGAUAACCCCGUGAGGUGGGUCUGGUCAGCCCCAGUUUACAGAUGAAGAAACUAAGUCUUACCAAUACUGAGCAGCUCGCCCAAAGCCACCAGCUAUGGGUGGGGCCAGGCAUGGUGCAGGGCCUGAGGCUGGUCAGGAGCAGAAUUGAGGGUGAGGGCGUGGGCGUCCUUUGAGUGGCCUCACCCUGGCCUGUGAGGGAGUACAUGCUCUGCCCCCAGAGGCACGUGGUGGCCACAGCCCAUCACCAUGGAAACCAGGCCGGGGCCCCUGGAGCCCUCAGCUCUGGUUUGGAUUUCAAACCCAAUGCCGCUUUCUCAGAAGCAACUUGGUCAAACUUUCCAAAUAGGAAAAGUGGAAGGAAAAAGAGAGAGAGAGAAAUUCCCAGCCUGAAGCCACCCCAGAAAGACGGCCUGGGCCCUGAGCUGGGGAAGCCCUGUCUGGGUGGGCAGUGUGGUGGCAGGGCAGAGACCCCGUAGCCUCCCCAGGGCUCAUGCCCCUCCUCUGGGGAGCAGGCGGUGGUGGUGCAGCCGAAGCAGGUGGGCCCGGCCCUUCCUGUCUCUGCGGGAGCAGCUGCCCUUUUGUGUUUCCCAGUGGGGUGUGUGAGAAAGGGCUCUUUUGGAAAAAGGGUUGGAAAACCACUGACCUCAUCCAGCUGGCCUGCCUUUGGAGAUGGGGAAACUGAGGUCAGGGUCGGGACCAGGAAGUCAAAAGCAGGGCUAAACCCCGAAGGUAGGGCAGCAUGGCUACGCCCAGAGCAGGCGCACCGGAAGAUCUGUGGGUCGGGCCCCAUGUGGACGGGGCGCUGGGGCAUCCACACUCCAGCCCCCUGCAGCAGCCCCGGCUCCACGCCAUGGGGGUGCCGCCCAGCCCUGUGCUCGGGCUCCUGGGCCAGCGCCCAUCGCCACAGGAAGGCCGUCCUCCCUUGGGGCUUCCACUCCAGCUCAGGAUGACUCUGAGCUACCCAGGGCACACCUGGGAAGCCCGCAAGGAAGGGGAGGUGAAUGAGCAGCAGCCACAGGCACGGUGCCCUGAGGGGAUGGGGGACAGGCAAAGGCCACCAGAUAUACUCUGCCCUCCCCUAUGCCCCCACCCAUUGCCAGACCCCUUAGGGACCCUCAGCUGCGCUCCACCCUGCCCCUCCCACCCCCAGAACCCUCUGUGGGGGGGAUGCUCCCGCCCACUGCUUUCACUGUCGAGACAGGUGUUUGGAGACGUGAUGGCAAGGCAGUCACGCACUCUGGCAGGGGUGGGCCCGGAAUGGCCACGUCCUGAUUGCACCAGGCUGCUCCCUGGGGCCCAGUGUGUGGCUUGUGGCCAUCUUGACACUGUUGGGACCACAGGGCUCUCGAGUGCCAAGCGCUGGACGUUCACAUCCCCCAUCUCACAAAUGAGGAGGUUGGGUCUGUGCAGUCACAGGGCACCUGACUCGGUCAGAGGUGCGCCGGCCCACGGGGGCGGCCCCCCGGCAAAAGCAGCAAGCCUUGGCUCAGCCGCAGCCCCCACACUCCCUGGCUCUGUGGCUCAGGGCUUGUGGUCUUCAGAGUCCCUCCUGCUGGGCUGGGGUGGGGCCAGCUAAUCAGGGCCAGGCAAGCAGGAUGAUGCCCAGGGCGGAGGUGGGCUUGAACCUCCACUCCUGCCGGGCUGGGCGCAGGCUGGGUGGGGAGGGCGGUGGGCAGGAGGUGAGAAGCAUCCGAGCUCUGCUCCCUGCGGGCUGCGCGAUGCUGGGCCUCAGUUUGCUCACCGUGAGAUGGGAAUCAUGGGGCCGCAGGGAGGAGGAAAUGUCUGCUGUCCCCGAGCUCCUCUGUGCCCCAUGGAAGCAAGCCCUGUGGCCUCCCUUCCAUGGCAGAGGCCUGAUCCCUGACAUUGUCUCCCACCUCAGCCCAGGGGCCAGGCCACAGCCACUGCCCUCCCACAGGCCGGGAGCCACAGGGAGGGCCUGCAUCCGGAGUGAGCCCCAGCACUCCAUGGGCCAAGAGGACUAAGCAGAGACUGGCAUAGCCAAGCAUCCUCCUUCCCAAAGGACAGGUUCCUGCAGUGACUCUGCCACAGCCGAGGCCUCGGGGAGCCCCCUUCCUCCUGGCCCUGCCCCGCUGGGUCCUGCUCCUGCGGCCUCAGGAAACACAGCCCUCCCUCGGCCCUCUCCCACGGCUCCCUGCGGCUCCCUGCCAUCCGUGGUCUGAGCCGCUGCCUGCCCUGCUCCACUUUCCAAACCCUCAAGAGGGCCCUGGGCCUCCUCCGGAAGCUGCCCCCCGGCCGCCCUCCAGACGGCGCCUGCCUGGGGCAGUGUCCCAGGGGGAUGAAGCUGAGCCUGAUACGUGCCUGCCUCAGAAAGACUCAGCGGAGACACUGAUUCCAGGAGCAAGCCUCUGAGAAAUAACUUGCAGUGGGAAAAGCAGUGCACACUGGAAAAUGUUCUUCUCUCAGGAAUGUUGCACAGCAAGCUCCUGACCAUUCUGGAUGCGGAUACAAACACUGCUGUCCCGGGGCUGGCCAGAAACUCUGGGGUGGAGGCUGCCCGCAGGAUGUGGGACCCGGGGCAAGUCCCGUGCCCCACUGGGGGACCAUCAUGGUGGGGUGCCGCCUUCUGCCAGGGCAUCCUGGCAUGGCCACAGCGGUGAGCCCACACCUGGACACAGAAACUGUCCCCAAGGGCCUGGCAAAAAUGCACGUGGGGGCAGCCCGUCCAGAGGCUGAUUAUGUCUGAUUGGUUUUUAAAGUCUAGCUGUGAAUGGGGGUGGCUUGGCUCGGGCAGGGAUUUAUGACGGCUGUGGUCCUGUCAGGGUUGGGCCGGGGCAUCCUACAGAAGGGAAGGCCUUGGGCACCUGCUCCAGGCUGAACCGGGCCCAGUGGGCUGGAGGCUGUGAAGUCCCAUGAAGCUUGCAGAGCCGAGGACACGGGAAGGAAGGAGAGCUCAGGGUGAUGCUAAGAAGUCACAAGCUUGCUAACCGUUUAAAGACUCUUAAAAACUGGGCCUUUUCCCUUGGAGAACUUGAAGUGAUUCUUUUGUUUACUUUGCUUUUGCAACCGGCCCAUCAAUCAACUCAAUAAAGCUAAAAA